rnacentral:tRNA from 1 species
GCCGAAGUGGUGGAACUGGUAGACACGCACGGUUGAGGGCCGUGUGGGGAGACCCAUGGGGGUUCGAAUCCCCCCUUCGGCACCA